AUUGAACGCUGGCGGCAUGCCUUACACAUGCAAGUCGAACGGCAGCAUGGAGAGCUUGCUCUCUGAUGGCGAGUGGCGAGCGGGUGAGUAAUGCAUCGGAACGUACCGUGUAAUGGGGGAUAACGUAGCGAAAGUUACGCUAAUACCGCAUACGACCUGAGGGUGAAAGCAGGGGAUCGCAAGACCUUGCGUUAUACGAGCGGCCGAUGUCAGAUUAGCUAGUUGGUGAGGUAAAGGCUCACCAAGGCGACGAUCUGUAGCGGGUCUGAGAGGAUGAUCCGCCACACUGGGACUGAGACACGGCCCAGACUCCUACGGGAGGCAGCAGUGGGGAAUUUUGGACAAUGGGGGCAACCCUGAUCCAGCCAUGCCGCGUGUGUGAAGAAGGCCUUUUGGUUGUAAAGCACUUUAAGCGAGGAGGAGGCUACCGAGAUUAAUACUCUUGGAUAGUGGACGUUACUCGCAGAAUAAGCACCGGCUAACUCUGUGCCAGCAGCCGCGGUAA
rnacentral:rRNA from 1 species